rnacentral:rRNA from 1 species
AGCGGCGCACGGGUGCGUAACACGUGGGUAAUCUGCCAUGAAGUUUGGGAUAACUCGCUGAAAGGCGAGCUAAUACCGGAUGUGACGAUCGGGAGGCAUCUUCUGAUCUUCAAAGUUGGGGACCGUAAGGCCUGACGCUUCAUGAUGAGCCCGCGGCCUAUCAGCUAGUUGGUGAGGUAACGGCUCACCAAGGCUAAGACGGGUAGCUGGUCUGAGAGGACGACCAGCCACACUGGAACUGAGACACGGUCCAGACACCUACGGGUGGCAGCAGUCGAGAAUUUUUCACAAUGGGGGAAACCCUGAUGGAGCGACGCCGCGUGGGGGAUGAAUGGCUUCGGCCCGUAAACCCCUGUCAUUCGCGAACAAUGCCUGUGGUCUAAUAAAUCACAGGUUGAUAGUAGCGGAAGAGGAAGGGACGGCUAACUCUGCGCCAGCAGCCGCGGUAAUACAGAGGUCCCAAGCGUUGUUCGGAUUCACUGGGCGUAAAGGGUGCGCAGGUGGCCGGGUAAGUCUGAUGUGAAAUCUCGGAGCUCAACUCCGAAACUGCAUUGGAUACUAUCCGGCUGGAGGGUCGGAGGGGGGACUGGAAUUCUCGGUGUAGCAGUGAAAUGCGUAGAUAUCGAGAGGAACACCAGUGGCGAAGGCGAGUCCCUGGACGACUCCUGACACUGAGGCACGAAAGCUAGGGGAGCAAACAGGAUUAGAUACCCUGGUAGUCCUAGCCGUAAACGGUGCAUAUUUGCUGUAAAAGGAAUCGACCCCUUUUGUGGCGAAGCUAACGCGUUAAAUAUGCCGCCUGGGGAGUACGGUCGCAAGAUUAAAACUCAAAGGAAUUGACGGGGGCCUGCACAAGCGGUGGAGUAUGUGGCUUAAUUCGA